GACGAACCGUGCGAACGUUAUUCGGAAUCACUGGGCUUAAAGCGCGUGUAGGCGGGCCGCCCCGUCGGCUGCUGAAAUCCCCCGGCUCAACCGGGGAACGGGCACCGAUACGAGCGGCCUGGAGGGGGGUAGGGGGGUCUGGAACUUCCGGUGGAGCGGUGAAAUGCGUUGAGAUCGGAAGGAACGCCCGGUGGCGAAAGCGAGGCCCUGGACCCUUACUGAGCUGAGACGCGAAAGCCCAGGGGAGCGAACGGG
rnacentral:rRNA from 1 species